GUGAGUCAUCGAAUCUUUGAACGCACCUUGCGCUCUCUGGUAUUCCGGAGAGCAUGUCUGUUUGAGUGUCAUGAAUUUAUCAACCCUCUGGUUUCUUAUAAACCAAGUUGGUGUUUGGAUCUUGAGCGUUUGCUAAAUUAUUUAGCUCGUUCGUAAUACAUUAGCAUUUCAAUUCCAUUGUUCGGAUUGACUCAGCGUAAUAGACUAUUCGCUGAGGACACUUUCGAGUGUCCGAAUGAAGAAAAUAAAAUGCUUAUAAAUCUUUAGUCAUUUAAGAUUAGACCUCAGAUCAGGCAGGAUUACCCGCUGAACUUAA
rnacentral:rRNA from 1 species